AAGCAACGCGAAGAACCUUACAGGCUUGACAUGCAGAGAACUUUCCAGAGAUGGAUUUGGUGCCUUCGGGAACUCUGACACAGGUGCUGCAUGGCUGUCGUCAGCUCGUGUCGUGAGAUGUUGGGUUAAGUCCCAUAACGAGCGCAACCCCUAUCAUUAGUUGCCAUCAGUUCGGCUGGGCACUCUAUGGAGACUGCCACCUAAAGUGGAGGAAGGUGGGGAUGACGUCAAGUCAGCAUGGCCCUUACGGCCUGGGCUACACACGUGCUACAAUGGUCGGUACAAAGGGUUGCCAAGCCGCGAGGUGGAGCUAAUCCCAUAAAACCGAUCGUAGUCCGGAUCGCAGUCUGCAACUCGACUGCGUGAAGUCGGAAUCGCUAGUAAUCGUGAAUCAGAAUGUCACGGUGAAUACGUUCCCGGGCCUU
rnacentral:rRNA from 1 species